GCGGAUGUGGCGGAAUUGGCAGACGCGAUGCGUUCAGGGCGCAUUGCCCUUAGGGGCGUGGAGGUUCGAGUCCUCUCAUCCGCA
rnacentral:tRNA from 1 species